rnacentral:rRNA from 1 species
UAAGGAAUAUUGGACAAUGGUCGCAAGACUGAUCCAGCCAUGCCGCGUGCAGGAAGACGGCCCUAAGGGUUGUAAACUGCUUUUGUACCAGAGAAAGCCUAUCUACGUGUAGAUAGCUGAUAGUAUGGUAAGAAUAAGCAUCGGCUAACUUCGUGCCAGCAGCCGCGGUAAGACGAAGGAUGCAAGCGUUAUCCGGAUUCAUUGGGUUUAAAGGGUGCGUAGGCGGGCUUGUAAGUCAGUGGUGAAAUCUCUCAGCUUAACUGAGAAACUGCCAUUGAUACUGCAGGCCUAGAGUAUAGAUGACNUUGGCGGAAUAUGACAUGUAGUGGUGAAAUACUUAGAUAUGUCAUAGAACACCGAUUGCGAAGGCAGCUAACGAAACUAUAACUGACGCUGAGGCACGAAAGUGCGGGGAUCAAACA